CUGUUUGAUGACGAUUUGGACUCCUCUGAGAGAUGAGAACACACCCACAUCUGUUUCAUAGAUGUGGGGUGUUACGGUUCUGAGUCAGCUUUGUGGCAUCAGACACACACCUGAAAACCAGCACCUGGACUUCAUGCAGGAGAGACUGCCUCAGUAAUGAUGGACUCUGCUCCUCUACUGUUACAUCCUCACGAAGGAGGUCUAGGGGUGUGUGUGUGGAGCGGUAACAAAAGGGUCCGGAACAGAAUGAAGAGGAAAACAGCGUAAUGUGCUCGGGAUUCCACAAAUGAUCCAGUACCUGCAUCCUGCUGGAGAACUGCACGGUGUUCCAGUCUGGGAUUUUGUCCCUCCUGCUCCCCCAUCCAACACCUCCACUCCAAAAAAAAGGAAAUGUGAAGCCCAACAGGAUGCGGACCGGCUGUACAUAAAGAAGCCACCAAACGCCUUCAUGAUUUACCUGAAGGAGCAGAGGCCAAAGGUGACGGCAGAACUGAACAUAACUGGCAGUGCAGCCGUAAAUGCCGUAUAUGCAAAACUCUGCAUGUAUUUAUGCAUCUGUUAAUGCUUUAUGCUCAUGUUUGUGCAUGUGUGCCAGCUGCCCUGUAGUAACAGUGUAGCUGAGUAUUUAUCUAUGCUGACAGUGGGUUCUCAUGAUUGUCUGUCUUCAGUGGAGGUCUCUCUCAAAAGAACAACAAGCUAAAUAUUUUGAUCAGGCUGAAAGCGAGAGAUGCCGUCACGCCACAGAGCAUCCAGACUGGUCCACCAAAGAAAACUACGGCAAAAAGAGGAAGAGAACACGAAAUCGCACCUCGAGCACAGCAUCUGAACCUAAACAGGAAGAUCAACAGGCCAAGAGGCUUUGUGUGAUGCCAGCUCAGACACAGCCAUCUUCUUCCUAUUCAGUUGCGAAGGAGCCUCUUGAGCAGCCACAGAGACAGCCAGCUGUUACCAACCUUCCUGAUCAGCAGUCAGCGUGUGUGCAGCUG